rnacentral:lncRNA from 1 species
GCAGCGGUCGUCUCUGGCUGGGUAGACUGAGACCUGAACGCUGAGGGACUUAGGACCAGCAGUGCCGUCCAGGCCUGGCUGCAGACGGAAACUACUUCAAGAUAAGCUCCACCAAAAAUAGAGAGGAAAUCAAGAAGAUUAAGACGCAGGAUCCAGCGCAACGCUCCAGCACAGGAGAGACCAAAAGAACGUUUGACAAUCCACUGACUUCCUAGAAAACAGAAGAGUGGGCUGGGCAUGGUGGCUCACGCCUGUAAUCCCAGCACUCUGGGAGGCUGAGGUGGGUGGAUUACCUGAGAUCAGGAAUUCGGGACCAGCCUGGAGAAACCCCGUCUCUAAAAAUACAAAAAUUAGCCGAACGUGAUGGCGCA